CAUAUACAGGCGUCACGCAAAAAAAGGACUCGACGAGAACUUUUUGUAUUUAUUAUUGCUUUGUAUCAAACUAUAUUGUAGCGCAGGGUUUGCUACGUUACGCUACGUACAGGAUGGUUAAGGAAAAACUUCAUAUCAACAUUGUUGUGAUAGGCCACGUCGACUCCGGAAAGUCAACGACCACUGGCCAUCUAAUCUACAAAUGUGGGGGCAUCGAUAAAAGAGCGAUCGAGAAAUUCGAAAAGGAAGCGCAACAGAUGGGUAAAGGUUCGUUCAAGUAUGCCUGGGUGUUGGACAAACUGAAAGCGGAACGAGAAAGAGGAAUCACAAUUGAUAUUGCACUUUGGAAGUUUGAAACAAUUAGGUAUUAUAUCACUGUUAUUGAUGCACCUGGUCAUCGAGAUUUCAUCAAAAACAUGAUUACUGGAACAUCCCAGGCUGAUUGUGCCGUUUUGAUCGUUGCGGCUGGGGUGGGGGAAUUUGAAGCAGGGAUAUCCAAGAACGGCCAAACAAGAGAGCACGCUCUCCUUGCAUACACACUUGGUGUGAAACAACUUAUUGUAGCAGUUAACAAGAUGGAUAACACUGAACCUCCGUAUUCUGAGCAAAGGUUUAAUGAAAUCAAGUCGGAAGUUUCUGCUUACAUAAAGAAGAUUGGAUACAACCCUGAAGACGUGCCUUUUAUACCGAUAUCUGGUUGGCAUGGCGACAAUAUGCUCGAACCAAGCGAUAAGAUGAAUUGGUUUAAGGGAUGGGAGAAGAAAUCAAAAAGUGAGGAUGGAAAGUCAAGUGGUAAAACUUUGUUGGAUGGACUCGAUGCAAUCCUUGAACCCAAACGCCCAACUGAUAAAGCACUGAGACUUCCCCUUCAGGAUGUUUACAAAAUAGGAGGCAUUGGAACGGUUCCCGUGGGAAGAGUUGAGACUGGUGUUAUGAAACCAGGAAUGCUGGUGACGUUUUCACCCGCCAACAUUACUACGGAAGUCAAGUCGGUAGAAAUGCACCACGAAGCACUGACAAAGCACUUCCAGGAGACAACGUUGGUUUCAACGUUAAGAACGUGUCGGUGAAGGAUAUUAAACGUGGUAUGGUGGCAGGGGAUGCCAGCAGAGAUCCACCGAAAGAAGCAGCCAGCUUCGUGGCUCAGGUAAUUGUUCUGAAUCAUCCUGGACAAAUACGAAAAGGUUACGCUCCAGUGCUUGAUUGCCACACCGCACACAUUGCAUGCAAGUUCGACGAGCUUCACGAAAAAGUGGACCGCCGAUCUGGUAAAAAGUUGGAAGACAACCCAGUGUUUAUUAAGACCGGGGAUGCAGCGUUUGUGAAGAUGGUGCCCAGUAAACCAAUGUGUUUGGAAUCAUACCAGGAGUAUCCGCCUCUGGGUCGCUUUGCCGUACGAGACAUGAGACAAACUGUGGCAGUAGGGGUGGUGAAAUCUGUGGAAAAGAAGGAAAGCACAGGAAAGUUGACAAAAGCUGCACAAAAGGCGGGGAAAAAGAAAUAGCUUUAAAC